UGUUUGUAUAGCUUGAUUUUGUGUGUUGUGAACAGAACAUUGCAGUUGAUUUUUGAGGAGAAGACACACAAUCUCGUAUACCAUCAUCAUCAUCAUGCUCUUCCUUAAUUAUUAUUAUUCAUAUUCUUACAUUCACAUUUCUUCUUCUUCAUCGUUCUCUCCAAACCCCAAAAACAACAACAACCUUAAUCACCACAAACCCCUUUCCAUUCCCAACAACAACAACUCCCAUUCUCAUGAUCAUAUUUCCAUUAUCAAAUCCCCCACACCUCCAUGGAUUAAAUCUCCUCUUCAUCUCCAACCCCAACAACACCUUCUCAAUUCUAAUGUGGAAAAAUCUGACCUUUCUGAUAAAGCUUUAAAUAGCAAAGAAAUUAGCGGGAAAAAAGUUUUGAGGAAAAUAGCCCACAAAGUUGAAAAGCUUCACAAGGCUUUGGAUUCAGAAAAAAAUGAGACUUUGACUCAAAUGGGUUCUGAAAAAGUUGAAAACUUUGGGGAUUGUUUGGAUAUUUUGAUGGAGAAUGAAGAAGUCGUUAAUAAAGGGAGAAUGCCAUGGGAGAAAGAUGAAAAGAUUGGUUUUUUUAAGGUGAAAAGGGAAAAAACUUUUAGUGCUGCGGAUUUGAAUGUUGAUAAGGUGGUGCUUCAUAGGUUAAGGGGUGAGGCUGCGAGAAUGAGAAAGUGGGUCAAGGUUAAGAAAAUUGGUGUUACACAAGAUGUUGUGGAUGAAAUUAAAAGGAGUUGGAGGAUGAAUGAACUUGCUAUGGUUAAAUUUGAUAUCCCUUUAUGCCAAAAUAUGGGUAGAGCUAGAGAAAUUGUUGAGACAAAGACUGGAGGCUUGGUUAUCUGGUGUAAGAAGGAUACUCUUGUCGUUUACCGAGGAUGCAACUAUCAGUUGACCUCAAAAAGUUCUCCAAAGAUUCAUACCGGUUAUAUUCGAAGUCAAAAAACAAAUUCUUAUGAAACGAAUGAGGUGAAAUCAGCCACCAAGGGUGAUCUUUCCCGGGUUGAAUCCACCCAGAGUUCAAGUGAGAUACUGAGCUCGAAUGCUGAGCAUAAGGAUUCUCUAUCAACUGACAACUACAACAUGAAUUACCAACCGAGAAGCGGAUCAUUGUAUGAGAAGGAAUGCGAUAGAUUAUUGGAUGGCUUAGGACCUCGCUUCGUUGAUUGGUGGAUGGAUAAGCCGCUUCCGGUAGAUGCUGACUUACUUCCAGAAGUGGUUCCUGGAUUUGAGCCGCCAUUUAGGCUUUGUCCACCUCAUGCUAGAUCAAAACUAACCGAUGAUGAACUAACAUACUUCAGGAAGAUUUCUCACCCUUUACCAACUCAUUUUGUUCUUGGAAGAAACAGAGGACUUCAAGGCUUAGCGGCUGCUAUCUUAAAGUUAUGGCAGAAGAGUCAUACAGCGAAAAUUGCUAUCAAGUACGGAGUUCCAAAUACCGACAAUGAAGUAAUGGCCAAUGAACUCAAGCGUCUCACCGGAGGAGUUCUAUUGUUACGCAACAAGUUUUAUAUACUACUCUAUAGGGGAAAAGAUUUCCUUCCAAGAAGAGUUGCAGCUUUGGUAGAAAGGAGAGAGCUGGAGCUUAAAAGUUGUCAGCUUCACGAAGAAGUCGCGCGGGCGAAAGCAAUUCAAGCUUUUUCUUCGUUUGAUGAAUUGCAACUACCACAAGAAGCUAGUACAAGUGGAACUUUAACCGAAUUUAUGAAAAUCCAAAUGAAGUUUGAGGAUAUAAAAGAAGUCAAUGUAGAUUCAAACAUUGCACUGGAAGCAGAAAUAUAUAGAUUGGAGAAGGAAUUGAAAGAGCAACAGCAUAAAGCUUUCAUUCUUAAUAAGAAAAUAGAAAGAUCUGCAAUGGAAUUAUCGAAACUAAAUGCUGUAUGGACACCUGCUGGGGAGGAUAUAGAUUUGGAAAUAAUGACGGAUGAGGAGAGAGAAUGUUUCAGAAAGAUGGGAUUGAAGAUGAGAAGUUGCCUAGUGCUUGGACGGCGAGGAAUAUUUGAUGGUGUAUUGGAAGGACUACAUCAGUAUUGGAAACACAGAGAAAUAGCGAAGGUCAUUACGAUGCAAAGACUAUUAAGUCAGGUCAUCUACACUUCACAAUUUUUGGAGAGAGAGAGUGGCGGAAUUUUAGUUUCGGUUGAUAAACUAAAAGAAGGCCAUGCGAUUAUUAUUUACCGUGGAAAAAACUAUAGUCGGCCUUCACAAAAGAUAGCGAAAAAUCUUCUAACCAAACGAAAAGCAUUGCGCAGGUCUCUUGAAAUGCAGAGAAUUGGAUCAUUGAAGUUUUUUGCUUAUCAGAGAGAGAAGACAAUCUCUAAUUUAAAGCUGAAACUGGAAACCUUGCAGCAUAGAAAGGAAAUCGAGGCGAGGAAAUUUAAAAAUUAAUGCAUGUAUGUCUAAGACUUCAAUCGAGCUGCAAGUAUUCUUAAAUUGUCUACUCAUCGACGGUAGACGAGAUAAGGCAUACGAAAAAUUCAACAAGCUUCAGCAAGCAACAUAUUUUGAGAAACUAAGUGGCACUUUUUUGCUGCUGUUUGGAACACUUGAAAAACUGUUCUGCAUGGAAGAAAGGAAUCUCACACAUACAUAUAUCCUGCAAGUUUGAGAAAGGUAGAUAUUGUCAAAUAGAGUAACAAAUUUGUUACUUUAUUUUUUAGGGUGAAGCAAUGAAAAGGGAAUUUACUUUCGAGUUGUUAAAGACGAGUUCAAACUUGUGACUCGUCUUUAAACAAUAUUAACUUGAUCUGUCGAAGAGAAUUGUUAGCGACAAAUGUAACAUCCUCUAAAUUUAUUAUUUAAAAAUAACUAGAACUUAUCAAUAUUAAAUUACGUGUGAUAUGUGUUGUUAACUCA